rnacentral:rRNA from 1 species
UACGAAGGGGGCUAGCGUUGUCCGGAAUUAUUGGGCGUAAAGAGCUCGUAGGCGGUCUGUCGCGUCUGCUGUGAAAAUCCAGGGCUCAACCCUGGACCUGCAGUGGGUACGGGCAGACUAGAGUGCGGUAGGGGAGAUCGGAAUUCCUGGUGUAGCGGUGAAAUGCGCAGAUAUCAGGAGGAACACCGGUGGCGAAGGCGGGUCUCUGGGCCGUAACUGACGCUGAGGAGCGAAAGCAUGGGGAGCGAACAGG